rnacentral:rRNA from 1 species
UGACGUAGGGCGCAAGUGUUGUCCGGAAUUAUUGGGCGUAAAGAGCUCGUAGGCGGCCUGUUGCGUCCGCUGUGAAAUCCCGGGGCUCAACCCCGGGCCUGCAGUGGAUACGGGCUGGCUAGAGGCAGGCAGGGGAGAACGGAAUUCCUGGUGUAGCGGUGAAAUGCGCAGAUAUCAGGAGGAACACCGGUGGCGAAGGCGGUUCUCUGGGCCUGUACUGACGCUGAGGAGCGAAAGCGUGGGGAGCGAACAGG